rnacentral:rRNA from 1 species
UACGGGGGGGGCAAGCGUUGUUCGGAAUUACUGGGCGUAAAGGGCUCGUAGGCGGCCAACUAAGUCGGAUGUGAAAUCCCCAGGCUUAACCUGGGGACUGCAUCCGAUACUGGAUGGCUUGAAUCCGGGAGAGGGAUGCAGAAUUCCAGGUGUAGCGGUGAAAUGCGUAGAUAUCUGGAGGAAUACCGGUGGCGAAGGCGGCAUCCUGGACCGGCAUUGACGCUGAUGAGCGAAAGCUAGGGGAGCAAACGGG